CUACGGGACGCUGCAGUGGGGAAUAUUGCAUAAUGGGCGCAAGCCUGAUGCAGCCAUGCCGCGUGUAUGAAGAAGGCCUUCGGGUUGUAAAGUACUUUCAGCGGGGAGGAAGGGAGUAAAGUUAAUACCUUUGCUCAUUGACGUUACCCGCAGAAGAAGCACCGGCUAACUCCGUGCCAGCAGCGCGCGGUAAUACGGAGGGUGCAAGCGUUAAUCGGAAUUACUGGGCGUAAAGCGCACGCAGGCGGUUUGUUAAGUCAGAUGUGAAAUCCCCGGGCUCAACCUGGGAACUGCAUCUGAUACUGGCAAGCUUGAGUCUCGUAGAGGGGGGUAGAAUUCCAGGUGUAGCGGUGAAAUGCGUAGAGAUCUGGAGGAAUACCGGUGGCGAAGGCGGCCCCCUGGACGAAGACUGACGCUCAGGUGCGAAAGCGUGGGGAGCAAACAGGAUUAGAUACCCCGGUAGUC
rnacentral:rRNA from 1 species